UGCUGGUUGAAAGGGAGGUGAAGAUCUACAUCUUUCUUUCUUUAAUUUUCUUCUCUGUUCCUUAAUGUUUUUCGCCAGAAAAUUGAGGAGCAUGCUAUUAGGUGUGGAGAAGAAGAGGAAACAAUAAGAAAAGCUUGAUUCUAAUUUCACCUCAAGACCUCAGACUUCGAACAUGGAUGAAUCUGAGUCGUGGCAAGUCGGUUUUUGGACUGGAGCAUGGCUCAAAACUGGAGUAGGUUCAUUGGCACAAUAGGAAUUAAUUGGAUGCGACUAUACU